rnacentral:lncRNA from 1 species
UAAAGUUAUCUGAAUCAUAACUUAAACGUUAUUCACCAAUCUUGGUCAGAAAUUCAAUUAAUUCACCGUUCAUUCGGUCGAAAGAUAUAACGAAAGUUAUCCGAAUUAUAACUUAAACGUUAUUCACCAAAUCUUGGUCAGAAAUUCAAUUAAUUCACCGUUCAUUCGAUCGGAAGAUAUAACGAAUGUUAUCCGAAUUGUAACUUAAACGUUAUUCACCAAUCUUGGUCAGAAAUUCAAUUAAAUUAACUAACCGUUCACUCGGUCAGAAAUUCAAUUAAAUUACCUUAGUCAGAAAUUCAAUUAAAUUAUAUAUAAAUGUCCAAGUUACGCGCGACAUCAAAUUCUUCAUCAAAGCACCGUCGUCCGGUAUUAAAUUGCGUGGUAGUAGCAACAUGAAAAUAAAUUCGAUAGCAAAAAGUAAAAUAGUUCAAAACACGCCACAAAGCAAUAAAAUUGUCUUUAGCCCACACCCCGAGCCCAGGUAAUGAAAAUAUUAAACAAUAUCAAGGGUGUCAUCCGGUUGCAUCGACUCCUCCGGCGGUACGGUAUCAUCUGCACGUGGCAUCUCUUCGGCGUCCUCGUCCCCCAGAGGCAUCAGACGGCCGCCCACAACAUCCAUGUUCGAGUCGUAUCGCUCAUCGUCGUCCGGCACCCCAUGGAAAAAGGCAACCUGCCGAACUCCCUGCCUGAAUGACUCUUCGUUGAUGCGCAACAUGAACCCUCGCAGCUGUUCAACUUGAGCACUCAACAAUUUCUGCACCACAAACACGAAGGUAAGAUACAAAUAUGCUAUCAGCCGAACGACCGCAAGAAGAAGGUGCUCACCAUUUAGAUCCACCCACUGCUUGGACGACCCGUAAAGGGCUAUCAGUUCCCGCGUAGGGAGCCUACACGGUAGUUAAUUCACGACCAUCCAUGCAUCACAUCUCUGCCACAUAUUAAUGAUGCCAGCUAUCACGCAUUGUUUCAAUAACCCCCUGAGCCUUAUACGACUCUU